rnacentral:rRNA from 1 species
AUACGGAGGAUCCGAGCGUUAUCCGGAUUUAUUGGGUUUAAAGGGUGCGCAGGCGGCCAUUUAAGUCAGCGGUUAAAUCGUGGGGCUCAACCCCAUUCUGCCGUUGAUACUGGGUGGCUUGAUUGCGGUCGAGGUUGGCGGAAUUCGUUGUGUAGCGGUGAAAUGCAUAGAUAUGACGAAGAACACCGAUUGCGUAGGCAGCUGACCAGACCGCAAAUGACGCUCAUGCACGAAAGCGUGGGGAUCGAACAGGAUUAGAUACCCUGGUAGUCCGCACAGUAAACGAUGAAUACUUGUUUUCGGCGAUAUAAUGUCGGAGGCAAAGCGAAAGCGAUAAGUAUUCCACCUGGGGAGUACGCCGGCAACGGUGAAACUCAAAUGAAUUGACGGGG